GACAGAGGGUGCAAACGUUGUUCGGAAUUACUGGGCGUAAAGCGCGUGUAGGCUGCUUCGCAAGUCGGGUGUGAAAGCCCUGGGCUCAACCUAGGAAGUGCACUCGAAACUGCGGAGCUUGAGUCUCGGAGAGGAUCGCGGAAUUCUCGGUGUAGAGGUGAAAUUCGUAGAUAUCGAGAGGAACACCGGUGGCGAAGGCGGCGAUCUGGACGAUGACUGACGCUGAGGAGCGAAAGCCAGGGGAGCAAACGGG
rnacentral:rRNA from 1 species